rnacentral:lncRNA from 1 species
CUCUGAGCUCUGUGCCCUCCGUUCAUUCCAUGGCUGGGAGUCAGUGAUGCUGCCUCUGCCUUCUGAUGCUGGACUGGCCUUGCUUCUACAAGUAUGCUUCUCCCACAGCUGUGGCUGCAGGAACUUAAUUUAUAGGGAGGAGCCUGUGGCAGCUGCUGCCCCAGCCACAGCUGCACUGACUGUGCUCACCACACAUCUGGGGCAGCCUUCCCUGGCAGAGGCCCUCAUGGCUUCUCAUUUUCCAUUCCCU